ACUUGUAGACAUGGAGCAGCAGUUGCAGGAUGCCUUAGCGGAGAUAGCACGUCAGAAGGAGGAGAUGAGGCAGAAAGAAGAGCAGACCGAUGCUCGAUUUGAGGCUCAGCAGCGUAUGUUCGAGGACGCUCAGCAGCGUAUGCUCGACCAGAUAUUGGCUAGGCUUCCACCUGGAUCUACGGGACCCACUCCACCCACCGGACCUUCGUCUUGAUUAUUAUGUUGUGUUUCUGUACUUUGAAUACUUGACUAUUUCUAUUAUGUUUCUUAACACUUGAAUAUUUUGUUAUGUUAUGACUAUAUGUGA
rnacentral:lncRNA from 1 species